UUUUUUGUUGCCGAUGAUGGAUCUGAAGUUGAAUUGAAUAUCCAUGACUGAAUUCAACAUUUCGUCACUACCACUGAGGCAAUUAAAGU